CCUACGGGAGGCAGCAGUGGGGAAUAUUGGGCAAUGGGCGAAAGCCUGACCCAGCAACGCCGCGUGAAGGAAGAAGGCUUUCGGGUUGUAAACUUCUUUUGACAGGGAAGAGCAGAAGACGGUACCUGUCCAGCAAGCCACGCCUAACUACGUGCCAGCAGCUGCGGCAAUACGUAGGUGGCAAGCGUUGUCCGGGUUUAAUGGGUGUAAAGGGUGUGUAGCCGGGCUGACAAGUCAGAUGUGAAAUCCGGGGGCUCAACCCCCGAACUGCCUUUGAAACUGUUGGUCUUGAGUGUCGGUGAGGCAGGCGGAAUGCGUGGUGUAGCGGUGAAAUGCGUAGAUAUUAGACAGAACACCGGUGGCGAAGGCAGCCUGCUGAUCGAUAACUGACGGUGAGGCACGAAAGCGUGGGGAGCAAACAGGAUUAGAUACCCUUGUAGUC
rnacentral:rRNA from 1 species